rnacentral:tRNA from 1 species
UACUUGGCUACGAACCAAGGGGUCGUGGGUUCGAAUCCUGCCAGCCGCGCCA